rnacentral:rRNA from 1 species
GAUGAACGCUGGCGGCGUGCUUAACACAUGCAAGUCGAACGAAGCAUUUAGGACAGAUUACUUCGGUUUGAAGUUCUUUAUGACUGAGUGGCGGACGGGUGAGUAACGCGUGGGUAACCUGCCUUGUACUGGGGGAUAGCAGCUGGAAACGGCUGGUAAUACCGCAUAAGCGCACAAUGUUGCAUGACGUGGUGUGAAAAACUCCGGUGGUAUAAGAUGGACCCGCGUCUGAUUAGCUAGUUGGUGAGAUAACAGCCCACCAAGGCGACGAUCAGUAGCCGACCUGAGAGGGUGACCGGCCACAGUGGGACUGAGACACGGCCCAGACUCCUACGGGAGGCAGCAGUGGGGAAUAUUGCACAAUGGAGGAAACUCUGAUGCAGCGACGCCGCGUGAGUGAAGAAGUAAUUCGUUAUGUAAAGCUCUAUCAGCAGGGAAGAUAGUGACGGUACCUGACUAAGAAGCUCCGGCUAAAUACGUG